AUUUAAUUUUAAUUUUGUAUUAAUCUUUUAGGUAUUGAUUAUAUUCUUUAGUUUGUGGAUCGAAUUGGCAAGGAGCAUUGCAAAGUUAAUUAACUUGAUUAUUAAUUGCAAGAGUAAAUGAAAAGGUAGUUGGGUGACAUUUAUAAUAAUGGAGAUGGAUAAAAGUUGGAUCCAUCUUAACAGAGCAACGGUGGAAUAUGAGCAAAAAGCUAGGGAGUUUGUUAAGACAACCAUGAUGAAUCUCGGAUUUCCAGCCAAG